GUGCUCUUGAAGUCUUCUCCGAGCGAAGGAUACUGAAUUUUGGCUGGAAAAUACAUCCCAUAUUCCGUCACUUCCGAUUAUCAAAAACUCAUCUUCCUUGGUUAGUGUAAUCAAUUUAAGUUCUGGUUCAGCGCUCAAGAGGCCGCCCUUUUCACCCUUCACUUUCAUCCCUUCGAUGUGCCAAUCACCUAAUGCUCGGGUAACACUUAACUGUCCAUUCAAAUAGCCAUCUUCAACAUAUCUCCCUGGGGACUCGAUCCGUGCUCUUUCCUUACCACAGCAAGGCUUAUGGUCCUUUGACAUUUCGAUAGCUCUUCCACGUUUAGAUAAUACUGCCCGGCAAUCACCAGCAUUUGCCACAAGUAAAGAUCUCCCAAAUAUCAUUGCAGUAAGUGCAGUUGUUCCAGAAGAGAGGGCAGACAUGAGGGAGCAAGUUUCUGCUAAAGCAGCACCCGUCUUAAUGAAUGACCGUGUGACCACUUUCUCAAGUUCUAAUGG
rnacentral:misc_RNA from 1 species